rnacentral:rRNA from 1 species
GAUGAACGCUGGCGGCGUGCCUAAUACAUGCAAGUCGAACGCUCAGACUUGGUGCUUGCACCUAUCACGUUAGCGGCGAACGGGUGAGUAACACGUGGAUAACCUACCUCUUAGCCUGGGAUAACUUCGGGAAACCGGAGCUAAUACCGCAUAAAAUAUUGAAUCGCAUGGUUUUAUAGUGAAAGAUGCUAAUGCUGCACUUUAUAGAUGGCCUCGCGUCGCUUUAGUAAGUUGGUAAGUUAACGGCCUACCAAGGCAACGAUGAGUAGCCGACCUGAGAGGGGGAUCGGCCACACGGGAACGAGGACACGGUCCAGACUCCUACGGGAGGCAGCAUUAGGGAUUCUCCCGCAUUGGGCGAAAGCUGGACGGGGCAACGCCGCGUGAUUGAUGAAGGUCUUCGAAUCUAAAAACUCGGUGAUUAGGGAAGAACAAUUUUGGAAGUAACUAUGCACGUCUUGACGGUACCUAAUCAGAAAGCCACGGCUAACUACGUG